rnacentral:rRNA from 1 species
UACGAAGGGGGCUAGCGUUGCUCGGAAUCACUGGGCGUAAAGGGUGCGUAGGCGGGUUUUUAAGUCAGGGGUGAAAUCCUGGAGCUCAACUCCAGAACUGCCUUUGAUACUGAAGAUCUUGAGUUCGGGAGAGGUGAGUGGAACUGCGAGUGUAGAGGUGAAAUGCGUAGAUAUUCGCAAGAACACCAGUGGCGAAGGCGGCUCACUGGCCCGAUACUGACGCUGAGGCACGAAAGCGUGGGGAGCAAACAGG